UGACACGAUUCUACACCGUGCCUGACGCGAAGACGGCACGGCGAUCCGUGGUGUGGGUAAUGUUUCUUGCAGGCAUUUUCUUUGCCGGCACGACCUUGUUUGGCCUCGCCGCUGCAAACUUCGUCGGUCAAGACGUCAUUCGCGCCGCGGACAAGGGCGGCAACCUGACACUGCCGCUGCUCGCACAGUAUCUUGGUGGC
rnacentral:misc_RNA from 1 species